rnacentral:rRNA from 1 species
UAAAAUUUAAAAUUAUUAUACUAAAAUAGUAAAUAAUUAUUUAUUGAAACUUAAAUAAUUUGGCGGUAUUUUAGUUCAUUUAGAGGAAUCUGUUUAAUAAUUGAUAUUCCACGAUUAAAUUUACUUAAUUUAUAAUUUUGUAUAUCGUUGUUAUAAAAAUAUUUUUUAAUAAAAUUAAUAUUUAAAAAUUAUUAUAUAAAUUUAAAUCAGAUCAAGAUGCAGAUUAUAGUUAAGAAUAUAAUGGAUUACAAUAAAAUUAUUUAAAUGAAUAUUAAUUUGUAAAAAUUAAUUGAAAGUGGAUUUAAAUGUAAUUUUAUUUAUUUUAAUAAAAUGAUUAAAAAUUAAAAUAUGU